UACAGAGAGUGCAAGCGUUAAUCAGAAUUACUGGGCGUAAAGCGCACGUAGGUGGAUAGCUAAGUCGAAUGUGAAAGCCCCGGGCUUAACUUGGGAAUUGCAUCCGAUACUGGCUGUCUAGAGUAUGGUAGAGGGAAGUGGAAUUUCCGGUGUAGCGGUGAAAUGCGUAGAUAUCGGAAAGAACACCAGUGGCGAAAGCGGCUUCCUGGAUCAAUACUGACACUGAGGUGCGAAAGCGUGGGGAGCAAACAGG
rnacentral:rRNA from 1 species